UGGGGAAUAUUGGACAAUGGGCGAAAGCCUGAUCCAGCCAUGCCGCGUGUGUGAAGAAGGUCUUCGGAUUGUAAAGCACUUUAAGUUGGGAGGAAGGGCAUUAACCUAAUACGUUAGUGUUUUGACGUUACCGACAGAAUAAGCACCGGCUAACUCUGUGCCAGCAGCCGCGGUAAUACAGAGGGUGCAAGCGUUAAUCGGAAUUACUGGGCGUAAAGCGCGCGUAGGUGGUUUGUUAAGUUGGAUGUGAAAUCCCCGGGCUCAACCUGGGAACUGCAUUCAAAACUGACUGACUAGAGUAUCGUAGAGGGUGGUGGAAUUUCCUGUGUAGCGGUGAAAUGCGUAGAUAUAGGAAGGAACACCAGUGGCGAAGGCGACCACCUGGACUAAUACUGACACUGAGGUGCGAAAGCGUGGGGAGCAAACA
rnacentral:rRNA from 1 species